rnacentral:lncRNA from 1 species
GCCCUCACUAUGAGGAAAAGGCAUCUAGUGUUUGCUGAAUGAACAUUUUACACAAGUCACCGUGGUAAACCAAGAUAUAGCAAAUAAAACAGCAGCCUGUCCUUUCAUUUAAUUUAUGAAGUAUGGGAUAACGUGGGAGGAAGAGGGGCAAAGAUGUCCUGGAAUUUGAAGCUGCUGCCCUGAUCCUAUGACAAUCAUACACUCCUCCCUGCUUUGAUGUUGUGUACUUGCCUGAAGGAAAUGAAGAAAUGUUAAUCAUGGCAAGUGUGUUGGAGUGCCUGGAAGUGAUUUCAAGUUCUUCAAGGCAGAUUGUGAUGUUGAAAGCAGCUUCAUCCAUUUUGUGGCCAUGAAGGAGGAAAAGGAACAAUCAAAAGGAGAAUUCCAGAAAUUCCAGUCUCAAUUUGAUCAAGCUAUUAGAACAAUGGUGCUUGUUGGACAGUGUAUGGCUACUUUGAAGUUUUUCACAUAUAUAUAAUAAUUGUGCAUAUUUCUGGGAUGUGAUGUGUUAUUUUCAUAGAUAUAGGCACUAAAAUUAUCCCAUGUUUAUUCACUCUAAACAAUAGUGUGUGGAGAAUAGUCAUAACUGGAGCUAUGUAACACACAUAGGAACAAUCCAUCAGAGAUUGUUCACAGGUGAACAUUAUGUUAUGAAAUAAAACACUUAAGAAUGAAGUUAAAUACAGUUGUGAUGCUGAAAAAAUAUGAAGUUAAAUGCAGUUGUGAUACUGAAAAAAAGAUGGUGAUCAUUUUACUUGGUAAUCAAAACAGA